UACGGAGGGUGCAAGCGUUGUCCGGAAUCACUGGGCGUAAAGGGCGCGUAGGCGGCUCAUGAAGGCUGUGGUGAAAGUCCGGGGCUCAACCUCGGAUCGGCCGUGGCGACUCGUGGGCUGGAGCACUGUAGAGGCGGGUGGAAUUCCGGGUGUAGCGGUGGAAUGCGUAGAGAUCCGGAAGAACACCAGUGGCGAAGGCGGCCCGCUGGGCAGUGGCUGACGCUGAGGCGCGGCAGCGUGGGGAGCAAACAGG
rnacentral:rRNA from 1 species